UACGUAUGGGGCAAGCGUUGUUCGGAUUUAUUGGGCGUAAAGGGCGUGUAGGCGGCUUAUCAAGUCCGGUGUGAAAUAGCAGAGCCCAACUCUGCGUAUGCGCUGGAAACUGGUAGGCUAGAGUUCUUGAGGGGAAGCUGGAAUUCCAGGUGUAGGAGUGAAAUCUGUAGAUAUCUGGAAGAACACCGGUGGCGAAGGCGAGCUUCUAUCAGAGGACUGACGCUGAGGCGCGAAAGCGUGGGGAGCAAACAGG
rnacentral:rRNA from 1 species